rnacentral:rRNA from 1 species
GUCUACGGCCAUGCUACCCUGAACAAGCCCAAUCUCGUCUGAUCUCGGAAGCUAAGCAGAGUUGGGCCUGGUUAGUACGAGACCACCUAGGAAGACCAGGGGUUGUAGGUG